CACGGGUGGCUGCAGUGGGGAAUAUUGGACAAUGGGCGAAAGCCUGAUCCAGCCAUGCCGCGUGUGUGAAGAAGGCCUUCGGGUUGUAAAGCACUUUCAGUGGGGAAGAAAGCCUUGGGGCUAAUACCCUCGAGGAAGGACAUCACCCACAGAAGAAGCACCGGCUAACUCCGUGCCAGCAGCCGCGGUAAUACGGAGGGUGCGAGCGUUAAUCGGAAUUACUGGGCGUAAAGCGCGCGUAGGCGGUCUGAUAAGCCGGUUGUGAAAGCCCCGGGCUCAACCUGGGAACGGCAUCCGGAACUGUCAGGCUAGAGUGCAGGAGAGGAAGGUAGAAUUCCCGGUGUAGCGGUGAAAUGCGUAGAGAUCGGGAGGAAUACCAGUGGCGAAGGCGGCCUUCUGGACUGACACUGACGCUGAGGUGCGAAAGCGUGGGUAGCAAACAGGAUUAGAUACCCCAGUAGUC
rnacentral:rRNA from 1 species